GCUGAAGGCAGAUGCUUAACCAACUGAGCCACCCGGGUGUCCCUGGAGCCCCUUUUAAAUGGGAGUGAACUUCUUGGUGGGAAUGCAGCCCUGGGGCUGACUGGGGGGGCUCACCUCAUCUCUGAAGAGGGCUGCUUAUGACCACCCUUCUGUGAGCCUUGGUUCGGCUGGGCUCUCCCUGUUUCCCAUGGAGCCCCAGGCCCAUCCCCAAGCCCCCCGGGGCCCCAGUCUCCUGGCUGCCUUUGUCCUGGUGCACUAGUAGAGGACAGGAAGGCAGGAGAAGCUCUCCCAGGCUGGGUGGAGGGGCAGGGUGGAGCGCAGCUGACUGAGGGGGUGUGUGUCGGGGAGCCAACAGGAAGUAGGGCUGGGUUUUGUUCCCUGACCAGUUCCCCGGCAAGGCUCUCCCAGGGGGUUUCAGGGCUCAGUCUGAAGACGUAUUGUUCCCGUGGAUGGUGCAGUCCAGACAGUUAGCUGUGGCCACACCAGCCCUUGCUCUGCUUGGCAGACUGUGACACAGACAUCAGUCCAGACACCCUCCGAGAGAUAUGGGCCUUGCCCUUGGCAUCAGCCUAGACAACCUUGCUGGGGCAGGAAGGCUCUCCUGGACCCUAUGCCAAGGGCAGAUGUCUCCCUUUGCAGCUCUGUAGGUGGGCCCUUGAGGGGACAUGAUGGGGAUAAGCAAGGCUGGCCUCACCCACUGCUCACAGCAGCAGAGGUGAAGGGUGGCCCUGGGUCAGAGGGUUUCCUACCGAGUCAGUGUUCCCACCGGUAUGCACAUCCCUCCCACCACUACCCCAAGUCCAUGCCAAGCCCCCCGCCACCCCGUAGCUCUAUCUCAGGAAGAACUCUGCCAGUGGAAACGCCAGCCCCUUUUGUGCAGCUCCACGGGUUAUCAGGGUUGCUCAGAUUGAGGAAGUCCUCCCCCUGCUGCCCUAUGCCACUCUGCCCCACCCUGCCCUGCAGAGGGGAGGGGGGCCUGCCCGGGGAGAGUCUGGCUCCCACCGGGCAGUGUGGCUGACCCUCCUACCCCUGGCGCCAGGGCCCUGGGCUCUUCUUAGGAUAAGCUUUGAGAUCAGGGCAGGAUCCAUUUUUUGUCAUUCAGUGCCGCUCCCCCCUCCCUUCCCUAGUGUCUGUGUGAAAAUGAAAGCUAUUGUUUAUUUAAAAGGGCCAUUUGCCUAAUGCCCCUGGAAUUCAUUUGCUGGAGCAGUUUCCAUUUUCAUGCUCAGUUCAGACCUUGGCUGCAGCCAAGAGGUUAUGUAACCUGGGAUGGAAUGAAUCCCACUGGCAUCUGGGGACCCCCAGCGCACCCCACCCUUAGCCAUUCCUGUGAGUGUGAGCAUUCUGGGCUGCUCCCCCAAGUUGCCUGUGGGGGCUGCCAGAGUGGGGGCAGUUGACACAGGAACACUCGGCAGCUGUCGGAAUGGAGUCAGGGGGACAAUUUCUUUGGGGGGCUGAAUUCUUAGACCUCCUCUGGGUCUGCUGUCUCUUCCUCAGCCUACAGACCUCCUCAUAUACACAGUCCAGGCCCUUCCAUCCGCCUGCUCUGGACCUCAGCAAAAAGUCUGGGCAUCACUGCCUGAGCCUUGGCAGGAUGUGGGAGCUGUUUCUGGCACAGUCCUUCCUGGCUAGCCUGUGAAAUUUGUCUCACGCUUCUAUCGAUCCCCAGCAGAAUCGGCCGGAGGGCCUCACCCCGACUGACGGCUACUUCCACCCCUAGGUUCCAGCCCAUGGUCCCUUGGUUUCUACUCUGAAACCUGGUCUGGGUCUACAGGGAAUUACUUUGAUGGGGGACAGGGCGUUAUCCCGGGUGAUGAGGGGCUGGAGGUUUAACCGACUUCUAGAUUUUAAAAGGAGACAAAGAUGCAGAGUAGUCUUUAGAACUCUGAACUCCGUCCGCUUCAUCAUGAGGAGGCCCGGUUAGGGCCAGUGGGGUGGGGAAGGGAAGGGACACUGCCCUAGCCUUCCCUCCUGCACCCCAUCUUGGGAGAUGGUAAGAAACUCAUUCUUUCUUCCUCCUCCUUCCCUCCCCUGAUGUGGCCUGAGAUGACUCCCUUCACAUCAUUUCUCUGCUUAAAUAUGCUUGUCAACCCACGUUAGGAGCAAGGUAACCCACUGUGUGUCUGUGUGUGUGAACCAGUGUUAACUGCUGAUGCAAAUAAAGCCUUGACUUUCAGUGACUUAACCCGCUAGAAGCUGGCUCAUGUAUCCAUCAGAUGAGGCUCUUCCUUCCACAUGAGGCAGCUUCCUCCACACAGUGAUGCUGCGACCCGGGUUCCUUCUGCCGCUGGCUCUCAUCCCUCAGGGCCUCAAGGUCGUCUGCUUCCUUAGGGGCAGGAGGAGAAAGGGCCCGUGGAGAAGGCACAUCCACUUCUUAAACACUCCAGCCUGGAAAUGACCCACAUCUCUAUUAGCGAGACCCAGCCACGUGGCCAUGGCUGGCCAUGGGAACGUGGCCUGAAGACGGGAGCCAGCCCAGUGAUCACUCCAUGUGGCAUCAGUGGAAGGAAGUGGAAAGAGGGGGGUGUCUUGGAGAGGUGACAGUGUGGGGAUGUCCACAGGACUUUAGGAGUGAGUGUUGGGGGCAACAGAGAGGAGUCGGGAGUCUGAGGUCCCCCCAGGUUUCUGAUUUGGAGAACAGGUGGGACGGUGCUGCAUCCCAAGGAAAUGAAGUCUGCGGGAAGAGCGGCCAUUGUGGAGAGGGGAGAGGGAACAUGUUGGUCACAUGUCCAGCAUGGACUGGGUGCUAUAGGAAUAUUUUGUGGUUUAGGAAAGAGUAGGAAAAGUAGUGAAUGAACUUGAGGUCCUACCGCCCAGCCCAUGGAGAUCUGGUUGAGAAAAGGUGUUUGGUAGCUAUACUCACAGCCGGCAGCCACAGCACCUGAUGGGAUCAGACUGACCCAUGUGCAAACACAAAGCUAAUAAUAAGAAUAAUCGGGGGGAGAAAAGGCAUCAUCAGUGACCCAGAAGAGGAGGCCAACCCAGGCAUCGAGCCCUCUUAGGUGCUGGGUUCUCAUUUAUCUGAGCCUGAAGAGAGAGGUGAGGGUAAGCCAGACAGGGGUCCUGGUCCACCCAACUCAGGUGAGGAGGGCCUUCCGGCCUUGCGCCAGCACAGCUUCCUCUGCCCUCCGCGGCCUCGGGCUCAUUGCUCUAGGGCGCCACGAAGCACUGGCAGUAUACAGGUAUCUGACCAGAAGCAAGGAGGCUGCCCCUUCCCCACUCCUCAGAAAGAAAGGGGAAGACUGCUGCAGGCCAGGUCCUGGGCUGUGGCCACAGACCACUUUGCUACUGUGCUGACCCUAACUGCCACCUGAGCUCUGAGUUAGUGGUACAUCACCGCAGCCGGGAUUUCAAGAAGCUUUGCAAGUGAGUGUUGUGGGGAGGGCUUGGCCCCAUUCUUGUCUAAGGGUCAAACUGGUAGCCUUCUAUUAUGCCUUUACAUAAGAGGGGGUACUGCCUGACUGUUCAGGGGCUGGGGAGGGUGGGCCUCACGCCUCUACCUAGUGGUGGGGAGCCUGGGAUGAGGGAGGGAAGAGUGGACAGCUGAAUUCCUCGUUGACCUCUCCUCUUGCUCUCAGCAAAUCCAUGUGCCCCUUCUCCCUUUCUCUUGUGACAGCCUGCAGAGAAGAUUCCACAGUGAGGAGCACACAGAAUUUUGUAGAGUAGGGAAGUCCCAAUUAAGGAAAUUUUGUUUGUUUACUUUCUAAGUGAAGCCUGAGGUAUUUGUGAGGCUGCAUAGCAGAGGUUAAAGGCAUAGACUCAGGAGCUGGACAGCCCAGAUUUGAAUCUAAAUUCUACCGCUUACAACCUUGGACAAAUCACUUAGCUCCUCAGUGCCUCAGUUUCCCCACAUGUAGAAUGGUGAUAGCAGUACCCACCUCCUGUGAUUAUUAUGAGGACUAAAGAAUUCCUCCUUACAAAGUGCUCAGAACAGCGCAUAGCACAGAGCAAGUGCCAUGAAAUGGGUGUUAUAUUUUAAAAAUUGAAUUUAGUUAAGAGUUGGUACAAACCAGAGGGCAGGUGAUUCCUUAUUUUCCCCAGUCUUCUCUCUCAAGAAUCUCCCAGGCCUGUCCCCAAAAAUCUGCUUCCUUGUUUUGGGGUGUUUUGUUUUGUUUUGUUUUUUUAAUCCCUCAGCAGCAAUUGGGUAACGGAGACAAUCCCUUCUGGUACCAUUUCUAGACUCUGGAUAAGGUAGUCCUGCUGCUAGGGGAAAUGCAGAGGAAACAAAACUAGCCGGCAGGUGCCACACCAGACAGUUUGCAUAAAUUGUCUUUAAUCCUGAAACAAAACACAAACCCUUGAGGGUUGGGUUUGUUGUGUCCAUUUUACAGAUGAGCAAACUGAGCCAGAGAGUGCGGUUGGCCCAGAGUCCAGGACUCAGACCCCAUUUAUCAGAGGACCCUGAGCUUUCCACAGUGCUAUCUUUCUCCUGUCUCUGCAAAUGUUGCUGCUUCAGUCAUUUGAUGAAGUAUUAUCCUUAUACUUGCCCCCCAAAUGAUGGAUCACGGUGUUCACUGAGCAUCUGCUGAAUGUUGAGAACUGGAAGAAAAGGAAAGACAGUUACAGGUCAGGCAACGAUGGAGACCCAGAGGCGUGAGCAUGUUGCAGUAUGGCCCAGAACACUGUGGGACUCUGUGUGAGGUUCCAGAUUCUUUCCAGCCCGUGCUGCUGGGGCAAGCACUCUGGGGCCUGCAGGCCUGGGGAGGCUUCCCCCAACAGAGUAUGCAGUGCAGGCUGUGUCUAAGCUGGGUUUCAGAAAGGAAGGUGGAGGGGAGGCUCUUUGAGCACAUAGAGGAGAGAGAGAAAAAGGCGAGAGCAGGCUCCAUAGAGUCAGCGGGGAAAAGGAUGCUGGAACAGGUGAUCAGAUUGCAAAGUGAGGUUCAAGACUGGGUGAAUGUCUGUGUAAUAAACAGAAACUUCUAAGGAGAGCUUUCUACUAAAUGGAACCCUUUCCCAGAUUAUCUGUGUUCCACAGAGUAGCCUCUAGCUCUGACUAGCUUGGGCCAGGUCUGGACUAACUGGUAAAUCAAACAAAGCUAUCUUCUCCUAGAGUCACCUGUAAAGGCACCUGUAACAUCCCUGCCUUAUCUGACAUUCAGAAGAUUUUUGGCAUUAGGAAGAGCAGCAGUAGUGUUGUGGUUGGGAGAGGGCAGGGCUGGAAGAGGGAGGCCUGCAGGGGCCCAGACAUAUCUGGAAGGCUGGUAGGAGCGGGGACCUCAGAGUCCUGGGUUUGGGGAGGGGAGGGAGCAGCAGACUGCAGAGGGUCCCAGGCUGGACAAGGGAACAGGCCUGCCCCCCGGCCUCACCAGGAGCAGGGUCGGCCACACUUCUCGGUCCAGCCAUACUAUUAGCACCAUUGGGCCAGCCCCAGCCCCUUGGCAGCCCCAGGGCCAGGCUAGGGAAAAGAAGAAAACAGCGAGAAAGAGCCUCAGAAGCAAGAAAUGCCAAUGUCAGGGAAUUCUGGUGGCGUGUGCCCAGCUUGGAGUCUGAAAGCCGCACAGGAAGAACAACCCAAACAGAAUGCAAACAGACUCCGAGUUGAGAAACUCGUUCCCCUUACCCAGGGUGUACAGUUCAGAGAAUGGCAGAAAAGCACGAACAACUGCAAAACCAAUUCGGCUACUUCAUCUCUUUACCUUCGUGAUGGGAGGUGGCACCAGGAAUGCUGGUUAAGAGCAGAGUCGGACUCAGAGCCCCUUGGCCCUGCUUGGCUUUUCCCAGGCAUUGGAACAACUCACUAAGUCUGCUUCUGCACUCCGUUCUCCCUCCUGGCCCAGUGUCUGGGCUGUCAGCACGAUGGCCAACGGCCGUGUGUGCAUGAGGAAAGCUGCAGGGUGCUUUCCUGCGCCCCAGUUUUUAAGAGCAUUUACUUCAUCCCUGUUUGUGGCAGCAAAAGGCAAUAUGGCCCCCGACUUCUCGUCUCGUGGGUUUCAGCCUGCCUCUAUGCCCAGGCCUGAGAGCCAAUGAAAAGCUCCAACCACUUGUCCCAUGGUGUGGCAGGAAGGUUGAAUCGUGCUUCCGGGUCGCAGAUGGUUCUUCUCUUCUGUUCACUCAUUGAUGGGCUUGGUCAAUCAGCAAGUCUUCACUGAGCACCCUCCAUGAGUCAGCACUGGGCAAGGUGCUGUAGAUACCAUGAUCUAGAACAGCAGAUGUUGUCCCUGCCUCACUGGAGGUUCCACUGCGAAUAAAAUGACCCUGUGAAUGAAUGUCUCCCUCCAGCUGUGACACCUGCCACAAAGAAACACAUUGCUAUUGAAGAGUAGCCCAGUAUUUACAUGUGACAUUCUCUUGUGAGUUUCCUCCGAGCCCCACAAGGUUGCCUCUCUUUCCACAUCGUCAGUCCAGAUGCUCUACUACCUGUUAGGAAGUUGGAAAGAGAAAGGCUGACACUCAGUUUUGGACAAGCCCCCAACAGUGCCCGGAGUACAAAGGGAUAGUGGUUGGAGAGGCCCUGGAAGUUUGACUUUGGAGAGGGACAUUGUUGGAGAAGGCUAUUGGUGUGGUAUGGUGGUUUUCCCCUUUGAGCUUCUUGGAGGAGAGAAGAGGUUGUAUCCCUUCAAGCCAAGAGAAAGCAGACCACUCAGAGUGCUUGCCCAGGCAUCUUCCAGGGUCUCAGGGCACAAAGGUGAAUGUUGGACUUAGAGCUUAAAGAGGAGUCAGUAGUGCCUGGAGGUGGUCGUACCUUCCCAUGGAAGGAUGUGUGAGUGCAUCUCAAGGAGAGCUGGCCCACUGUAUCUUCCUGAACCAUCUAAAGGGGAUUAGAGACCAGUUGUCCUCUCGGGAGCUUCAUGGGAGGCCCCCGAUGCUGGAGAAACUCCAGGGAGCCUUUAAAUGUGCCUGAAAACUUAACCAGGAACACCAACCAAGCUGAGAAACGUGUGAGGGUCAGGUUUGAAUGUCAGCAGUGGCCAGAGAAAACCACGUCCAAUGAUGCACAUUCAGCCAAGCGUGGCUUUCCCUUCUCCCCUCUUGCCCUGCCCCCAAAGGUGUCCUAAGCGGUUGCUGGGAAAUAGGGUCUAAAAGUGAAAGUAACCAUCCUCUGCAUUUCCAUCCUCCUCUCUCACCUCCUAGCAGCCUUCAAUCCUGAAAUAGGACACAUCCAAGUUUAACUUUAGAUGAAAUUUAGAAUUUUAUACUAUCACACAGGACUAGUCACUUUAAUACUGAAUGAGGUUAUUCUGGUGCCUGCAAGACACUUUGUGAUCUGAGAGCAUUCCAAGGGAGAAUGGGAACUGCCCACAGUUUCAUUUAGGGCACCAGGGAGAGGGACCGACCUAGGUAUCUCAGGGUCUGGGAGGCAUAGGACAGUGCAAUCAGUGUCACAUUUCAAGCAGAUCAUGCUGGCUGCAGGUUAGGGAAGAGGAGUUAGGGAGUGAAUGUGAAUUCAGGGAGAACAGGGAGAAAGUUUGUAGUGGUCUGUGGUAGAGAUGAGGAGGAGGGAAAGCUGCAGAGAAGGCAACAUCCAGUGAUGUAGACGCCUAUAGUCUCCUUUUGUCUCUACUGUGGACUUGUUUCUAUCAUAUGAAGAACUCUGACUAGCUCCCCCUUUCCCACCCAGGACCUAUGAUAUGAACCUACCCACAACAGCUGCUCAAUAAAUGACUGAUAAAUGUUUCUGAAAUAGGGUGUAGGAAGAAAAGUGAGCAUUGGGGUUUGUUUCAAUUAUCUGUUAGAACAAUAAUGCAUGACGAACUCAAAACCUCAGCUGGCACAGAAUAAUAAGCAUGUUGUUCACAAAUCUGGGCUGAGUGGUGGCUCGGCUGGACAGCUCUGCUGGUUUUGGCAGAGCUUCUUUACAUCACUGGGGGUCAGCUGGCUGUUGGCUGUUUCAGGUGCCUGCGGCCGCUCAGCUCUGUUCCACAUGUAUCUCAUCCUCCAAAAGGCCAAUGCUAGCAUGUUCUCAUGGCAGUGGAAGGAUGCAGUCUUUCCACUGCAGGUCGACUCAUGCUUGAAUCCCAUUUGUAGCACACACGAGUCAUGUGACCUUCAGUUGGUUAUUUUACAUCUUGUGGCUUAAGGUCUUCAUCCAUAAAAUGGGGCUGAGAACAUCGAUCUCACCAGGCCAUGAAUUAAAUAACAGCAGUAAUAGCUCCUUCCCACUGGACCAUCCUGAGGGGCUAAAUGAUUCUGCCUAUGGCACCACUAUAGAAGAGAAAAAGGAGACUCUUAAAAGAUGGCAAAGAGUCAAAGGGAGGGGAGGGAACAUAAGACUGGAGAAGUAGCAUGUCCACAGGCGUGGGGGUAAGCUAGGACAGAGGCCCAGGGAAUGAAGAGGUGAGAGAGUGUGCAGGAAGAUUGGCUGAAGUCUCUGGCUCUAGGGGUGUGGUGUCAGGGAGUCUUAAUCUUACCUUGCUGGCCCUGGGAACCAUGGAAGAUUCUGACAUAAAUAUUGAUUUUUUUC